rnacentral:rRNA from 1 species
UGGGGGAUAUUGCACAAUGGGCGAAAGCCUGAUGCAGCGACGCCGCGUGGGGGAUGAAGGCCUUCGGGUUGUAAACUUCUUUUGCUCUGAACAAGGCGCACCAUGGGGUGUGUUGAGUGUAGGGGUUGAUUAGCGCCGGCUAACUACGUGCCAGCAGCCGCGGUAAUACGUAGGGCGCGAGCGUUGUCCGGAAUUAUUGGGCGUUAAGGGCUUGUAGGUGGCUGGUUGCGUCUGUCGUGAAAGCUCAUGGCUUAACUGUGGGUUUGCGGUGGGUACGGGCUGGCUUGAGUGCAGUAGGGGAGGCUGGAAUUCCUGGUGUAGCGGUGGAAUGCGCAGAUAUCAGGAGGAAUACCGGUGGCGAAGGCGGGUCUCUGGGCUGUUACUGACACUGAGGAGCGAAAGCAUGGGGAGCGAACAGG